UUCCAUUUACAUGUAUUCUUACCAAUGUGUGAUAUUUUUUGCUAAUUUUUUUCCCAACUUGAUGGCUUAGGCCAGAGUCUUUCAAGAAAAAAAGUCUUAUUAGAGAAGUCUUCAUAUCUCGUGAGGAUGAAUUAAAAGCAGAAUCUCAACUUUGCUACCUUUAAAUGUCACGGAGAGAAAAAACUGCAAAACCAUGUGCAACAAUAUCCAUGAUAAAUCAUCUUUGAUCUCAACAUAACGGAGACUAUAAGGAGUAUAAAGACUAGAAGAAAGAGUAGAAGGUGAUCCACAAUCAAUUCAGAACCUGGUCUUCUAUGGUGGCUCACAGUUCCUGCACCCUACAAUAUCGUGAAUUUUCUUCCUCUUCAUCUAAUGACAUGAAUAUGCUCCAGUGGAUCCUAGGAUAUCUUUCACAUGAGGUUACCCUUGCCCUUUGGAUGUCAGGUGGAACAAAGGGAUGGAAGAUUUUUUGUACUGGGACAUUCAGUAAACCCCUAGGCCUACCUAUUGUCUAGUCAGAGUUAGAGAAGCAAAUGAUGUCUGUGAGGGCCUACAAGGCACAAGAGGAUGAAAGUUUAACUUAAAGUUUAGAUGCUGAUAUUCUAGCUAGUAAUAAUGUAUGAUUGCCUCAUGUACUACUCUUUUUUUAUAUUUCUCUCCUAAUGUAUAAAGAUGGAUUUCAAAAGAUAGGCAGCCUGGGAUUCAAAUUCUGAUCAUCUUUUCACUUUGUAAACUAAUGGAUAUAUUUUUUUAAAACAUUGUGUUUAAUACACGCCAAUGCCAAAGGCUUUCUACAGACUCAUGUGGAGUGGGAUGAUGCCCAGAAUGUCGAUAAAUUGACAGAAUAAUAUGAAGAACCCAACAGUCAUGUGCCAUGAAUUCUGCAGGCACAUUUGGACAUGAGUGUGAGCCAGAAGAUCAUUCUAUUUGGGAAAAUUUAAAUUGGGUGCAAGAAGCAUUAGCUAACAGUCUGAACCGAGGUAUGAUCCAAACUGAUAAAACUUGAUGAAGUUGGAAGAAGCAAAAGGGAGUUGGUAUGGAUCCUCAGAAUACGACAGAAACACAAGGAGUUUCAAGGGCAUUUGACAACAUGAAGUGCCAGCUAUAUUAGGGCACAGCAGAAAAAAAAUGUUUUCUGGACAGACUUAAUUUCUGAAGUGCCUUCUCCUCUUAUACUACCAUGGAAAUUACAGUGUUCUUCUGCUGUCUCAGCACCUUCCACAUUUAAAAAAAAAUCAUGCCUUUCCUUAUCUGUCUACCUAAUUAGACAUCCAUGGAUGAGAAAUGUGUCUAUGUAUCUUCAGUUUCUAUAUGUCCACUACAAUCCUCAUGCCUGGAACAGAGAGGUGUUCAAUAAAUCCAUGAACAAAAAGAAACUGAAGUUCUAAGGUCCAAACAAUGUUGAUUCUUUAUGAGCCAGUAGGGAUUUGCCUCUUUCUAAUUCCUCCUGGAGCACAAGUGUUCCCGGAAUCUGGAGCAGGGUUAAAAGCAGAGAUGAAUAAUGAUCCCCAUUGUAAAGUCCCAGGGAUCCAGAUAAGAUAAUAUGCCCCACUCCAGGGAGAAUAUAUAUACUUUUUUAUUAAGAAGACACAAGAAAUGGAAUGCAGCCUAUGUUUGUAAGCGGACUUUAAUAUUAAGCCCUCAAUAAAUAUUUGAUAAAUGAAUGAAUGAUUCUGUCCAAAGAGGUUAAUCAUUAAAAUGCUCAGAGGAGACCUCAGCAGGCCCUUGAAGAACACAGCAAUUUAAGAAGUAAAAAGGAGGAUGUAGGGGAAUGUUAGUCAGGGUCAAGCCAAACAUUGAAUUCAGCAUGGCAAAUGAAAUUUACUGUAAGUGGUCUCUGUGCUGAGAUACAUAUUACUGUUUGUGCAAAUUUAGUUCCGUUAACUUUUCCCAAAACUUCUUCACCACCUUAUCUUGGAGCUUAAUUCUAACUCUCUCUACUAUGUCCAUACUAUGGGAAUGUCUUCAAGAUAAUAUUGUCUUGUUAAAAUUCGGCUUCAGACUUCAGGACUUUUACAUUCUUGGAUGGGGAUCUAAACAAGACAUGAACCAAUCAUAAGGAAAUAUGGCUCCUUCUCCAUUAUUUUAAACAAGAAAAUAUUAUUGUUAUUGUAGCUGUUUGAGAGACAAGGAGAUUAAACUUGCUACGGUUAAGAAAUUUGAAAGCAGAUUUUUUUAGAGGCAGACAAUAAGGAAGAGUGUUUUUGGACAUACUUUGCUCAAACCUUUCCUGUGUUUGAGUAUUCCACCCAAACAGAACUUUCUCCAUUGAGCCAUUUGCUGUCCUGUCAGCUAAAAAAUAAAAAAUAAAAAAAACAAUAAAACAAAACAAAACAAAGAGCAAAAACCAUUUUAUCUUCUUGAUACUGUGGCACUUGAUGUGCAACAGAGAGACUACAUUCUUGCAAUCGGUCAGAAGCAGAACUUGACCAAUAUGAAACAAUACAUAUCCUAAGAAAACAACAUGCACAGAUAAUUUGCAGAAAGUUUAGAACAACAACAAUAAAAUAUUUUAAUUUGC
rnacentral:lncRNA from 1 species